AUGGAUUACAAAACAGGGAUUUUUCUUUUGUAUAUCUGUUGUGCAGCUGUUGAUGGUCAGACUCUGACAGAAUCUGGACCAGUGGUGAAAAGACCUGGAGACUCUCACUUACUGACAUGUACAGGUUCUGGGUUCACGUUCAGCAGCCACUUGAUGGGCUGGGUCAGACAGGCUCCUGGUACCGGGCUGGAGUGGGUCGCCACGAUUGAUGUAACAAGCAAAUACUACAGACAGUCAGUUCAAGGCCGGUUCACCAUCUCCAGAGACAAUAACAGACAGCAGGUGUAUCUGCAGAUGAGCAGUCUGAAGACUGAAGACUCUGCUGUUUAUUACUGUGCUCGACACUCGGCCCACAGAGACUGA